UGUUCUCCAGCACCAAAUGUUUUGUGUAGCAACAGUUAAUGAAUUCCAAAUAAUGAUUGCUGAUUUAAAAUUCACAAUGUAGUGUUAAAGAAAUCCUCUUGCGGCCCCUUUUUUGUGUUCUCAUACUCUUUGUUUCUGAUUAUUAACCUUCUCUUAAUUUCACUUUGUGGCCACUGAUAUGAGCUGUAUAAAUAUUGUAAUUAACAGAACAACAAUUGAAAUUUGAGAAGAGAUGAUUUUUGAGUGGAGGACCCAUGGGCCUUGUUAGAUGACAGGGGAUCAUGGUGUGGGGGGAUCGAAACCUAGGGGUGGAAAAAAGAGGAAAUCCCCAUUUCCCUUGACGACAAGUGCCUUUUAUGUAGUGAACAUAUAUAAUAGAAAAUAUAUAUUUGUAAUUAGUGAUUUUUUUAUGUGUAGCUGAAAGUUAAAUAUUGAUAGAGUAGCUGUUGUUUGAAAGGAAACAUCGGACUCCCGAUUUACGGAGGUUUUUAAUGAACUCUUAUUUGAUUGGA